GGCCUGGUGGUGUAGUUGGUUAUCACGUUCGCCUCACAUUCAUCAUCUGAUGUUAGAUCGGACGCGAAAGGUCCCGAGUUCAAACCUCGGCUAGGUCA